rnacentral:rRNA from 1 species
UACGGGGGGAGCAAGCGUUGUUCGGAUUUACUGGGCGUAAAGGGCGCGUAGGCGGUCAGCACAAGUCAGUUGUGAAAUCUCCGGGCUUAACCCGGAAAGGUCAACUGAUACUGUGCGACUAGAGUGCGGAAGGGGCAACUGGAAUUCUCGGUGUAGCGGUGAAAUGCGUAGAUAUCGAGAGGAACACCUGCGGCGAAGGCGGGUUGCUGGGCCGGUACUGACGCUGAGACGCGAAAGCGUGGGGAGCGAACAGG